GUGCUUAACUGCCUGAGGGCAGCAGUGUGAUUCAAAUUUUGGAGAAUCCUCUCUGUUCUCUAAAAAGCACUUUUGAUACUUGGCUGAACUCCAGUUCUACUUUGGAGGUGAUUAAUGAUUGAUCAGGAUGCAUCAAAUGGAGCUGAGGGGAAGAAGCAGGGGCAGGAAAAGAAACAGAGCUUUGAAAGAUUGGCCAUCAUCAAAAAAUCUACAAAUAGUAAGUGAAGAAGAAGGUGUGGGGAAAAAAGGGAACCCUUUUGCACUGUUGGUGGGAACGUAAAGUGAUACAGCCACUUCAGAGAACAGCAUGGAGCUUUGUAGACACUACCAGGAAGAGCUGGAAGAGAUUUGGGACCUGACUUCACCUCUGCACAGGGCCCAAGAGGUCAUGGAGGGGGAUCCUGCUCGGAAAAGUACUUUCAAACCUAGUGUGCUGAUUAAAUUCCAAAUCUGCAAUAUGGAUCUGAGGAGAUCAUGGUCCCAAAGGCCCAUAAAAGCCCCUCGUUGAACGGAGCCCACAGCCUCAAGUCCAGAAGAUCGACACUUUGAGGCCUGGUGUUGUAAAGCCUGAGUUCCAAGGGUUCAGAGACCGGCAGAAACAGGCUCAAGGCUGCGUCACUGCUUGCUGCUUCAAGAUGGCGCCACCGAGACGUUUCUCGGACUGUGACUCAGAUGUUUUCAUUGCCCCAAACAUCUUGGUUUCUCAGGAAUCUCUGUCUGGCUUCCAGCCCUUGUCCUGUGGAGACUCAUCCAAUUCCCAGAUGCUCCAUGACCUUGAGUGGAGGGAAUAGGCAUGGCCAGCAGGAGGCCCUGAGACAGCAGCCUGAGCAAGACGUUUGUCCCCACUGCCGGGAGACUUACAGGAGGCCCAAACUAGGACAGCAUGAAAGGCUGGCAGUACGGGAGGGCCAGCCAGGCCUGCUAGAGAGCAGGACUGCUGAGGCCUAGGCUCUUGGGACAGCUGUUGGACGGAUCCUAAGGGAGAAGAUGGCACUUCACUGUGGACCUCAUGCCUCCGAGUUUAACUGGUUCAAAGGAAAACUCUGGGCCCCAUUAGUUCUGCGUUACUGCUGCCACAGGUUUCUCUCGACCAAGUUAAGAGUGAGGCAAUAUACAUGCCGGGAUGACCAAGCUACCCCAUGGGUCAUGGCUGCCCUAGGGACAGCAGGCGGACCUUCCCAUCCAGGGAGCCAGGUUCCCCCCACCCCCACCCCCACCAGGCAGAACCUUCAUCAUGGAUCAAGAGUGACAGGUGUCCCAGGCCAUCCUCUCCACUGUCCAAGGUACUACCUCUUUUAGAAACAGACCUCUUUUGGUCAAUCAGAACAUGCCUGUCACAGCUUUCCUGGUAGAAAAACUCAUCUCCAAGAAAAAAACGCAUACCAUGCAGCUAAAAACUUUUUCUUUCAUGUUAGCACAUCCUCUGUGUGCUAAUGGCUUCUUCCUACCACGAAGUUUACUGUUUCCUGGAAUAAAUGUUCUUUUU
ensembl:lncRNA